GCACAAGCGGUGGAGCAUGUGGUUUAAUUCGACGCAACGCGCAGAACCUUACCAGGGUUUGACAUCCUGCGACCGCUCCCUAAUAGGAGUUUUCCCGCAAGGGACGCAGAGACAGGUGCUGCAUGGCUGUCGUCAGCUCGUGUCGUGAGAUGUUGGGUUAAGUCCCGCAACGAGCGCAACCCUUAUCUACAGUUGCUACCAUUUAGUUGAGCACUCUGUCGAAACCGCCUCGGAUAACGGGGAGGAAGGUGGGGAUGACGUCAAGUCCUCAUGGCCUUUAUGUCCAGGGCUACACACGUGCUACAAUGGCCGAUACAAACCGCUGCAAACCCGCGAGGGGGAGCUAAUCGGAAAAAGUCGGCCUCAGUUCGGAUUGGAGUCUGCAACUCGACUCCAUGAAGCUGGAAUCGCUAGUAAUCGUGGAUCAGCAUGCCACGGUGAAUACGUUCCCGGGC
rnacentral:rRNA from 1 species